UGGUUAAGGUGUUAACGCUUCGAGACUGCAGAUGUUUCCAUCAGAUGACCUGUGUGUCACCUAUGCCCCAUUGUCAAGAAGAAACUGUCUGUACUUAUUGCUUUAUUGUUUUUUUCCUUUCUUUGUGUGGUUAAUGAUCUCUCCAUUGGCUACGUGUUUGAGUCUGUAUAAAAGGAGGCUACUGAGGCGACGCAGCCAGAGAGACUCUUUUGACACUCAUGUGUGUUGAUGACCACUGUGUGUUAAAUGACCUUUCUCCAAUUGCAAUUGCUUUAAUAAACUUGUAUCUUUAUUCUGAUAUCUGCCUCCUAGAUUGAUGUUGCUUUAACAUUGGUGAAUAUCAAAUUUUAUUUUCCAUAUUAACAGAGGUUU